UUAACUUUAUAUUUGAAGAGAAGCAACAGCAUGUAGAACAGUUUAGAGGCAGAAAUCCUAAAUCAACUAGAACGCAGCAGCUUUAGAAGAGGUUUCCAGAGUUUGAAAGCUAGUCCCAAGGACAUUUGCUGGAAAGACCAAUGAAUGACUGGCUAGGAAGAAGAACAGAUAAUAAUGUGUCUAACCCUUCACUGGGUCCUACCUUUGCAUAAGCAGAUCUGUGCAAACUGUAGGUUGCUGGAAAAUAAGGACACUAUCACAGAAUGUUUAAGGGCACCUUACUACCUCCAAAUUGAGUUGGUAGGACAAUAUCUCAAAAUGUCAGAGGUAUCCAAACAACAACCAGCUGAAGUAAUCACCUCUUGUCUGAUGGAGACUUGUUGGCACAGAUAACCUCUCUACAUGCAGAAUAUUUCAAUAAAUUGUAUGGAAUCCAGUACA
rnacentral:lncRNA from 1 species